rnacentral:rRNA from 1 species
AUACAGAGGGUGCGAGCGUUAAUCGGAAUUACUGGGCGUAAAGCGCUCGUAGGCGGUUUGUUAAGUCGGAUGUGAAAGCCCCGGGCUCAACCUGGGAACUGCAUUCGAUACUGGCAAACUAGAGUAUAGUAGAGGCAAGUGGAAUUCCGGGUGUAGCGGUGAAAUGCGUAGAUAUCCGGAGGAACAUCAGUGGCGAAGGCGACUUGCUGGACUAAUACUGACGCUGAGGAGCGAAAGCGUGGGGAGCAAACAGGAUUAGAAACCCCAGUAGUCC